GACGAACGCUGGCGGCGUGCUUAACACAUGCAAGUCGAGCGGUAAGGCCCUUUCGGGGGUACACGAGCGGCGAACGGGUGAGUAACACGUGGGUGACCUGCCCUCAGCUCUGGGAUAAGCCCGGGAAACUGGGUCUAAUACUGGAUAUGACUCCAUGACGCAUGUUGUGGGGUGGAAAGCCUUGUGCGGCUGAGGAUGGGCCCGCGGCCUAUCAGCUUGUUGGGGGGUGAUGGCCUACCAAGGCGACGACGGGUAGCCGGCCUGAGAGGGCGGCCGGCCACACUGGGACUGAGACACGGCCCAGACUCCUACGGGAGGCAGCAGUGGGGAAUCUUGCGCAAUGGGCGAAAGCCUGACGCAGCGACGCCGCGUGAGGGAUGACGG
rnacentral:rRNA from 1 species